rnacentral:rRNA from 1 species
AGCCGCGGUAAUUCCAGCUCCAUUGGCGUAUAUUAAAGUUGUUGCGGUUAAAAAGCUCGUAGUUGGAUCUGUGUCUCGGACGGUCGGUUCGCCGCUCGCGGUGUUUAACUGACCGGUCCGGACGUCCUGCCGGUGGGAGCCUGGUUCGCGCCAGGCGCCCGUAACUCCCUCCGCGCUGCUCUUAACCGAGUGGUUCGGUGGGCCGGCACGUUUACUUUGAACAAAUUUGAGUGCUUAAAGCAGGCCUUAUGUUGCCUGAAAACUGUGUGCAUGGAAUAAUGGAAUAGGGCCUCGGUUCUAUUUUGUUGGCUUUUCUGAACCCGAGGUAAUGAUUAAUAGGGACAGACGGGGGCAUUCGUAUUGCGACGUUAGAGGUGAAAUUCUUGGAUCGUCGCAAGACGGACUGAUGCGAAAGCGUUUGCCAAGAAUGUUUUCGCUAAUCAAGAACGAAAGUUAGAGGUUCGAAGGCGAUCAGAUACCGCCCUAGUUCUAACCAUAAACGAUGCCAGCCAGCGAUGCGCCGAAGUUCCUCCGAUGACUCGGCGCGCAGCUUCCGGGAAACCAAAGCUUUUGGGUUCCGGGGGAA